rnacentral:lncRNA from 1 species
GAAUAAGAUCAUCUACGAAUGAAGGUCCUAAUAUAAAUCGAGAAGAAUCUGUUUCGACGAAUUGACGAAGGAUAGUAUAAUCGAGAAAAGGAGAUGAGGGAAGAGGAGGAAAUAGAGCUAUUAGUUAAAAUGAAAAAGAAAGAGAAGAAGAUGGAAAGAAGAAGUAAUAGAAGGAAAUCCCAGACGAGGAUGAAGAAGAAAGGAAGCGUAAGGAAGAAGAAAAUAAUGAAGAAUGGAAGGUGAGAGAAAGAGAGAAGAGAAGGAGAGCUAUCAGAUGGAAUUUCGAAAAACUGGCUUUAAUAGUGAAAAGGCGGCAGCAAUAAAUGACCUAAUUAAUGCCUCAGAAGAGACAAAAAGAAUGUGGAAAAUUGUGGCCGUCAAAAGUGAAAGGACGGCUGAGAAAUGAGAUGGUACAAGGCAAUUCGAAAUGAUGAUUUCGAAAUUUGCGCCUGUAGAGAGGAUUACGCCAGCUAUCGAACUGCUUGUUCGGGUGCUGUUGAGGGG